GUUUUGUGUUUGUACAGAGAAAGACGGUAACUUGGCUGGUGCACUGUCUGUUUUCAGUCGAGGGUGGCUGAGAAGUGUUGCACUGCUCCAGAUUCCUUUUGUUUGAAACCUCUCAGAAAGCGAUGAUUGUCGUCCUGCGCUCUAGCAACUAUAAAGAACACAGCUUUAGGUACACUUACUCUCUAAUGAAAUCUCAAGUUUAAGUCUUAAUUGAUUUUUGAGUGAAGUGUUUUAUGGUUUUGUUGAUUUGGCUGGUAUGUUUUCAUUUGUUUGAUUAAAAUUUAAUUUGGGUUAUUAGGUAUUUCUUGAUUUGAAUGAUUUCUAAAUGUUGUUUCUCCCCCAGUUUAUGAUAUGGAUAACUGUAGUUGGAUAAUAGUAUGAGCUCAGUUAUAUUCUUUGAACCAAUGACGGCUAUUCAAUUUUUUUUUUCUGUGUCUUUUUGAACUUUCAUAAGUCAUUGAAUUUUUCUUAAUCAAUAUUUUGUUUAAGUCUUUACUCCUGCAUAGUUAUCAAAUUUUGAUUUAAGUUAGCUUAUCUUUCCUUAUUUAUCUACAUUACUUGCACAAGAUAGUAUUGUUAUAUAACUGAUGUCUGAGAAAUUAAUAUUUUUACUUAUUUAAUCAUUUCUUUUAAGACUUAGCGAUGAAUAAUCUCUCCAUGUUAACAAUUUAAUAUAUGCAUACUGAUGAAUAAUAUCUAUUUUUUUCCGUUUAUUAAUCUCCUUUUUAACUUUGUUCGUUUUUUUCCCCCUUUUUUUUUUGGAUUCACUUUAUAUGCAUAACCAA